GACGAACGCUGGCGGCAUGCCUUACACAUGCAAGUCGAACGGCAGCACGGGUGCUUGCACCUGGUGGCGAGUGGCGAACGGGUGAGUAAUACAUCGGAACGUACCUUAUCGUGGGGGAUAACGCAGCGAAAGUUGCGCUAAUAACGCAUACGCCCGGAGGGGGAAAGCGGGGGACCGUAAGGCCUCGCGCGAUUGGAGCGGCGGAUGUCUGAUUAGCUUGUUGGUUAGGUAAAAGCUCACCAAGGCGAUGAUCAGUAGCUGGUCUGAGAGGACGAUCAGCCACACUGGGACUGAGACACGGCCCAGACUCCUACGGGAGGCAGCAGUGGGGAAUUAUGGACAAUGGGGGCAACCCUGAUCCAGCAAUGCCGCGUGAGUGAAGAAGGCCUUCGGGUUGUAAAGCUCUUUCAGCGGGGAAGAAAGAACCAAAAUUAAUACUUUUGGGUGUUGACGUUACCCGCAGAAGAAGCACUGGCUAACUCUGUGCCAGCCGCCGCUGUAA
rnacentral:rRNA from 1 species